UGAGGAAUAUUGGUCAAUGGACGGAAGUCUGAACCAGCCAAGUAGCGUGCAGGAUGACGGCCCUAUGGGUUGUAAACUGCUUUUGUAUGGGGAUAAAGUUAGGGACGUGUCCCUAUUUGCAGGUACCAUACGAAUAAGGACCGGCUAAUUCCGUGCCAGCAGCCGCGGUAAUACGGAAGGUCCAGGCGUUAUCCGGAUUUAUUGGGUUUAAAGGGAGCGUAGGCUGGAGAUUAAGUGUGUUGUGAAAUGUAGACGCUCAACGUCUGAAUUGCAGCGCAUACUGGUUUCCUUGAGUACGCACAACGUUGGCGGAAUUCGUCGUGUAGCGGUGAAAUGCUUAGAUAUGACGAAGAACUCCGAUUGCGAAGGCAGCUGACGGGAGCGCAACUGACGCUUAAGCUCGAAGGUGCGGGUAUCAAACAGGAUUAGAUACCCUGGUAGUCCGCACGGUAAACGAUGGAUGCCCGCUGUUGGUACCUGGUAUCAGCGGCUAAGCGAAAGCAUUAAGCAUCCCACCUGGGGAGUACGCCGGCAACGGUG
rnacentral:rRNA from 1 species